GACGAACGCUGGCGGCGUGCUUAACACAUGCAAGUCGAGCGACUGCAUUCUUUUCGGAGGGUGUAUGGAGCGGCGAACGGGUGAGUAACACGUGAGUAAUCUGCCUUUGGCUUGGGAAUAACUUCGGGAAAUCGGGGCUAAUGCCCGAUGUUUACUGUCUGCUGCAUGGUGGGUGGUGGAAAGAUUUUUUGGCCAGGGAGUGAGCUCGCGGUCUAUCAGCUUGUUGGGGGGUAAUGGCUUACCAAGGCUUUGACGGGUAGCCGGCCUGAGAGGGUGUUCGGCCACACUGGGACUGAGACACGGCCCAGACUCCUACGGGAGGCAGCAGUGGGGAAUAUUGCGCAAUGGGCGUAAGCCUGACGCAGCGACGCCGCGUGGGGA
rnacentral:rRNA from 1 species